UACGAAGGGGGCUAGCGUUGUUCGGAAUUACUGGGCGUAAAGCGUAUGUAGGCGGAUCGUUAAGUCGGGGGUGAAAUCCCGAGGCUCAACCUCGGAACUGCCUUCGAUACUGGCGAUCUUCGAGUCCGGGAGAGGUGAGUGGAACUCCGAGUGUAGAGGUGAAAUUCGUAGAUAUUCGCAAGAACACCAGUGGCGAAGGCGGCUCACUGGCCCGAUACUGACGCUGAGGUGCGAAAGCGUGGGGAGCAAACAGG
rnacentral:rRNA from 1 species